UACGAAGGGGGCUAGCGUUGCUCGGAAUCACUGGGCGUAAAGGGUGCGUAGGCGGGUCUUUAAGUCAGGGGUGAAAUCCCAGGGCUCAACCCUGGAACUGCCUUUGAUACUGUCGAUCUGGAGUAUGGAAGAGGUGAGUGGAAUUCCGAGUGUAGAGGUGAAAUUCGUAGAUAUUCGGAAGAACACCAGUGGCGAAGGCGGCUGACUGGACAUGUAUUGACGCUGAG
rnacentral:rRNA from 1 species